UGGUUCUGGCAUCGAUGAAGAACGCAGCGAAAUGCGAUAAGUAAUGCGAAUUGCAGAAUUUCCGUGAGUCAUCGAAUCUUUGAACGCACAUUGCGCCCAUUGGUAUUCCGAUGGGCAUGCCUGUUCGAGCGUCAUUAUCCUCCCUCAAAACCCCGCGUUUUGGUGUUGGGCCGCGUCGUUGAGACACACGACGGGCCUCAAAGACAAUGACGGCGUCCGUGGGACCCUCGGUGCAACGAGCUUCUCCGUAAGCACGCCCCGAGCCAAGGUCCCCCGGGCCCGGUCGCCUCAGUUAAUUUUUUCUCAGGUUGACCUCGGAUCAGGUAGGAAUACCCGCUGA
rnacentral:misc_RNA from 1 species